UACGUAGGCAGCGAGCGUUGUUCGGAGUUACUGGGCGUAAAGCGUGCGUAGGCGGUGUCUUAAGUUUGUUGUGAAAUCUCCCGGCUUAACCGGGAGGGUGCGGCGAAUACUGAGAUGCUGGAGUGCCGGAGAGGUAAGCGGAAUUCCUGGUGUAGCGGUGAAAUGCGUAGAUAUCAGGAGGAACACCUGCGGUGUAGACGGCUUACUGGACGGUAACUGACGCUGAGGAGCGAAAGCCAGGGGAGCAAACGGG
rnacentral:rRNA from 1 species